UAUGAAAAUCUUUGGGUUACAGGUUCGUGUUUGAGAGAAAAGAGCAAUUUUGAGGCACGUUUUAUUUCAUGCUGAUGACGAGAAAAAUCGAAUGGUGUAAUUUUUAUGGAAAUUUAAUAAGAAGAUGAUUAUUUAAUUACGUCCUUAUAGCCUGUUCUCGAUCACUUUUUUAAAAAUAAGUUAACCUAUUUCAUAUUUUAUACCUUGUUCGACCGUUCGCGGAGAGACGCGAUCUCGAGGAAGCGCGUCGACAGGAAUCUUAAAUUCUCGUUACGAUUAUACAAUCGACGCCAGGAAAUGAUCGAUCCCCUAUUUCGUUUAGGAUAAUAGAGCAUAGACAGUUACGCUCGGUGCUUAUAGAUAUAAGUUAAACAGAUGACUGAUCUAAAUCAGAUAUAGACAGUGAAGAGAUGUUGACUGAUCCGAAGAUGAUGAAUCAGUGAAGUUCGGUGACGAUGCUGUCGAAGAGGAAAACUAUCGCUGGAUGUUGGUCGCUCCACCACCGGUCGCGUGCGGGUGGAAAUGACCGUCGAACAAGGGAAAAACCCGACUUUCUCAUUUUUUAUCUGAUGGAACAAUAGCCAUAAGGAACCUCUUGAGUCGAAGGUGUUUUAUACCAAUUAACGGCCUUAACGGUAAAAUUGAAAAGCUUAGGUUUAUGACAGUUCCUUAUGAUUAUUACGGUCCGACUAAUUAUAUUUGCACAGCGAGUGGUCGCGUUGACCGAGGGAUGAAUUCUGAUUGAUGUAAAGAGUCACCGGACGUAACAUAUCUACUAUUCUGAUAGUAUUUCGUGA
rnacentral:lncRNA from 1 species